rnacentral:rRNA from 2 species
UUUUAUGGAGAGUUUGAUCCUGGCUCAGGAUGAACGCUGGCGGCGUGCCUAAUACAUGCAAGUCGAGCGAACGGACGAGAAGCUUGCUUCUCUGAUGUUAGCGGCGGACGGGUGAGUAACACGUGGAUAACCUACCUAUAAGACUGGGAUAACUUCGGGAAACCGGAGCUAAUACCGGAUAA